rnacentral:rRNA from 17 species
GGAUUAGAUACCCUGGUAGUCCACGCUGUAAACGAUGAUUACUAGGUGUGGGGGGUCUAACCCCCUCCGUGCCGGAGUUAACACAAUAAGUAAUCCACCUGGGGAGUACGACCGCAAGGUUGAAACUCAAAGGAAUUGACGGGGGCCCGCACAAGCAGUGGAGUAUGUGGUUUAAUUCGAAGCAACGCGAAGAACCUUACCAGGUCUUGACAUCCCGAUGACCGGUCCGU